CCUACGGGAGGCAGCAGUGAGGAAUAUUGGUCAAUGGGAGAGAUCCUGAACCAGCCAAGCCGCGUGAGGGAAGACGGCCCUAUGGGUUGUAAACCUCUUUUGUCGGAGAACAAAACCCGGGACGUGUCCCGGACUGCGUGUAUCCGAAGAAAAAGCAUCGGCUAACUCCGUGCCAGCAGCCGCGGUAAUACGGAGGAUGCGAGCGUUAUCCGGAUUUAUUGGGUUUAAAGGGUGCGUAGGCGGUCCGUUAAGUCAGCGGUAAAAUUGCGGGGCUCAACCCCGUCGAGCCGUUGAAACUGGCAGACUGGAGUGGGAGAGAAGUACGCGGAAUGCGCGGUGUAGCGGUGAAAUGCAUAGAUAUCGCGCAGAACUCCGAUUGCGAAGGCAGCGUACCGGCGCCAGACUGACGCUGAGGCACGAAAGCGUGGGGAUCGAACAGGAUUAGAUACCCGAGUAGUC
rnacentral:rRNA from 1 species